rnacentral:lncRNA from 1 species
UACUGAACAGGUAAUUCCCAUUUUCUGUCGUUUGCUAAUGAACAUUUUUAUCCACUCCAACUAUUUACUAUGUUUUUUCUAUGAAGUAGAUAUAUAGUACCUAUAGGUACAUAGAAUGUAUGUUUUAAAGCACCAAACAUAUGAGUAUGAUCUCCAGUAGCAUGUGAAUUGCUUGUUGGGGGUCAAAGGUCAUUGUUUAAUUUUGCACUUGUUUGGGUUAGCAUUUCCAAUGCUAAAGGCUUUGUACUUGAAGAGCAUAAAUAGUUAAAUUUAAGAGAGGUUAACUACUAAUAUAAAGUAUAAUCUCUGCUAAAAAGGGAGAUGAAGUCUUAGUCCUUCUAUUGUAAUUAGGCCCUAGAAGUUUGUUGAUCACAAGAAGGUGAAAUAGCUUUUGUAAGUCUACAGAACUAUUAUGUGGAGGAACUGGAUUUCAGACUGAGAGUUGUCCAUUUCCACUCAGAAAAUGCAUAUUUUGAAUUAAUUUUGCUUACUCUAUAUUUAGAAACAGAAGAAACAAGAUAUCUAGUAAAAUAGUGUUUUUUUUGUACCAAAUCAAUCCUAAAUACUUAGUAGCUUAACCCAAUACAAAUAUAUUUCUUGCCUAUUAACAGUCUGGUGUGGAUCUCCCUUGUCUAUGAACAGCUUUCUUCCACCUGGUGAUUCAGGAACCCAAGAACCUUUACCUUGUGGCUACACCAUCCUUAGGGGCUUGAAGUCCUUAACAUUCAUCUGAAAAUGGAGAGACAGUACUAAAGAAGAAAUGCCUGACUUAAAAUCCCUGGCCUGGAAGAGACACCACUCUUGCUAUGUUAUUGGUGAGAACUAGUCAGCACAUUGGAAUGUAGGGGAAACUGAGUAGGUAGGCAGAAAUUGUUAAGGCCUUACAGCCCCAAAGUCUAGCCCACAGAUGACCGUCUAUAAUCUCUUUCCUCAGGGAUGAAGGAAGGAUGGUCACAUGGAAAAUGGCGAGAAGUCUCUGCCUACCACUGUGGAAAUCUCAGCUUUCCUGGCACAUCUAGUAAAACUUUGAGGUUUGUUUUAUCUUGAGUGAACCUCUGAAUCUAUAACUAACAAACUGAUUUUAAAGCAACAGCUUCCCCUGGAGCCCAGUGCUGUGGUGUUUUGGAGUCAGGCGUGAAUCUAAGCUCAUGUUAACCACCACCUAGUUGUCUCAGGUGGGUCAAUUCAUUUGCUUAAGAGCAAUGAACUUUUGUUUCCACAGCUGUAAAAUACACAAUUCCCUUCUUAACUGGAUUUAUAAAAGUUACAAAACUUAUAAAUACUUUUUAUAAACUGUCAAAAAAUACAGAUGUGUAUGAAGAGUUGUUAUUCUUACCUGUCAUUCCAGCCAUCCUGAUGUAAUUAAUAUUUUGAUGUGAAUCCUCAUUUGUCUUUCUCUAUAUGCUUUCAAGUUUAUAGCAAUAUAGCAUCUUACCACAUAUUGAGAGCUCAAAAAAUCUAUGUUAAGUGAAUAAAAUAAGAUAUAUAUAUAUAUAUAGACACACACACACACAGAGAUAUAUUAUACACAGGAGUUUUUCCUUUUUAUAAAAAUAAGACCUGACUGUAUGUAUUAUUCCACAGCAUGCUUUUAUUGAUGUGAUUUCUGAUUGAUUCAUUUUUUUUUUUGCCUAUAAAACACUGCAGUAACGAACUUCCUUGUACAUAAACCAUUAUGUACUGGUGCUUUCGUUUUUAAAAAUGUUCUUCCAUGUAAGAUUGUGGAGUCUAAAGUAGGCACUUUAAAUUUUUGAAUAGAUAUUGUCAGUUACUUUCCAAAACUAGUUAUAGUAGUGUACAUGUUUACCAUCAAUAUAUGGACUUUUCAUUUCUUAAAAUGGGAAUUCUAAUACUUACAU